rnacentral:rRNA from 1 species
UAUUGCACAAUGGGGGGAACCCUGAUGCAGCGACGCCGCGUGAGUGAAGAAGUAAUUCGUUAUGUAAAGCUCUAUCAGCAGGGAAGAAUAAAUGACGGUACCUGAGUAAGAAGCCCCGGCUAACUACGUGCCAGCAGCCGCGGUAAUACGUAGGGGGCAAGCGUUAUCCGGAUUUACUGGGUGUAAAGGGAGCGUAGACGGUUGUGCAAGUCUGAAGUGAAAGCCCGCGGCUCAACUGCGGAACGGCUUUGGAAACUGUGUAACUGGAGUGCUGGAGAGGUAAGCGGAAUUCCUGGUGUAGCGGUGAAAUGCGUAGAGAUCAGGAGGAACACCGGCGGCGAAGGCGGCUUACUGGACAGUAACUGACGUUGAGGCUCGAAAGCGUGGGGAGCAAACAGG